UGGGGGAUAUUGCACAAUGGGGGGAACCCUGAUGCAGCAACGCCGCGUGAGUGAAGAAGUAUUUCGGUAUGUAAAGCUCUAUCAGCAGGGAAGAUGAUGACGGUACCUGCAUAAGAAGCCCCGGCUAACUACGUGCCAGCAGCCGCGGUAAUACGUAGGGGGCAAGCGUUAUCCGGAUUUACUGGGUGUAAAGGGAGUGUAGGCGGUACGGCAAGUCUGAUGUGAAAACCCUAAGCUCAACUAAGGGAGUGCAUUGGAAACUGUCGGACUAGAGUGUGGGAGAGGCAGGCGGAAUUCCUAGUGUAGCGGUGAAAUGCGUAGAUAUUAGGAGGAACACCAGUGGCGAAGGCGGCCUGCUGGACCAAGACUGACGCUGAGGCUCGAAAGCGUGGGGAGCAAACAGG
rnacentral:rRNA from 1 species